AUUGAACGCUGGCGGCAUGCCUUACACACGCAAGUCGAACGGCAGCACGGACUUCGGGUUGCCGGCGAGCGGCGGACGGGUGAGUAAUGCCUAGGAAUCUGCCUGUUAGUGGGGGAUGACCCAGGGAAACUUGGGCUAAUACCGGAUACGUGCGGAAGCAGAAAGAUUUAUCGCCGAUGGAUCGGCCCGCGUCUGAUUAGCUAGUUGGUGGGGUAAUGGCUCACCAAGGCGACGAUCAGUAGCUGGUCUGAGAGGAUGAUCAGCCACACUGGGACUGAGACACGGCCCAGACUCCUACGGGAGGCAGCAGUGGGGAAUUUUGGACAAUGGGCGAAAGCCUGAUCCAGCCAUGCCGCGUGUCUGAAGAAGGCCUUCGGGUUGUAAAGGACUUUUGUCAGGGAGGAAAUCCCUAGUGCUAAUAACACUGGGGGAUGACAGUACCUGAAGAAUAAGCACCGGCUAACUACGUGCCAGCCGCCGCCGUAAUAC
rnacentral:rRNA from 1 species